AGAUUGAACGCUGGCGGCAGGCCUAACACAUGCAAGUCGAGCGGCAGCACGGGUACUUGUACCUGGUGGCGAGCGGCGGACGGGUGAGUAAUGCCUAGGAAUCUGCCUGAUAGUGGGGGAUAACGUUCGGAAACGGACGCUAAUACCGCAUACGUCCUACGGGAGAAAGUGGGGGAUCUUCGGACCUCACGCUAUCAGAUGAGCCUAGGUCGGAUUAGCUAGUUGGUAGGG
rnacentral:rRNA from 1 species